AUUUGGAAUGCCUGCUUACCUCUCUGUCCUUCUCUUGAACUACUGCUUCCUCAUCUCUGCAUUCAGCAGUGCUGCUGUUUCUCAGACAUGCCACAUUCAUUCCCAGGGUCAGGAUGUUCUUUCUGCCUUGAACACUCUUCCUUCCAGAUCAUAGUAUUUUUGUUCCUUGUCAUUUAGAUCCCAUCCGAAAUGUCACCCCCUUCAAAGAGGGCUUCCCUCACUUCUUAAAUCAAUAAACACCCUGUCACAUUUUUCCAUUGCCCUAUUUUGAUUAUCUUUGUAGCACUUCUAACAUGAUUAUCACUAUAGUUUCAUUUAAUUUUUAUGCAGUUCAUUCACUUGUUGCCUGGAUUAUUUGCUCUGCUCAAGUUCAUCUCCUACUUGAGCAUCAACCAAAGAAGAGAAGGGACUUUGUCAGUCCUAACAAGGUCCUAAAAAUAGUACCUGAUAUGUAACAGGUACUCUAGAAGCAUUUGUUGACUAGAAAAAUGAAUGUUGUUUAUCUGUUUUAUGUAUGAUAGUUUGUACCUGCUAAUUUGGGGUUAUUAGCAGACACAAACUACCAUACAUAAAAAUAGAUAAACGACAGAGUCCUAAUGUAUAGCACAGGGAACUGUAUGCAGUAUCUUAUAAUGGAAAAGAACAUGAAAAAGAAUAUACAUGUAACUGAAUCGCUUUACUGUGCACCAGAAACACAUAAUUUAAGUCAGCUAUAUUUAAAUUAUAAAAAGAUGGAUCAGUGGGUGAAUAGAUGUCUAGAUAUCUGGAUAUGUAGAUAUUAGCUACACUUGAGGUUGUGCAACUUAACCAUAGUUUGAUUUCUCUGAAGUUUGAACAUUUGGAGAGAAUUUAGUGUCUCUCUGUUACCUUGGACUAGGGCAUAAAAGAUGUGCUUUCCAAAUUUGCAGUUGUGGGGAACCAGGGAAGGAUAACAGCUAGAAUGGAUGUGGCGGGGGAAUGUAUUCAAAAUUAUUGCCACAGUGCACAUUAUAUGUCAAUAUAAUGCUUUUAAAAAUUGAAGUAUUGAUACACUCUAGGGUGUUAGAUAGAAUAACCAGAUGAAAUUAGGAAUAUUAAAUGUAAAGACCUUUGCAUUUAGAAUUGAAAGGUGAACUGCAGAAGCCUAGGUCAAUGAAACUUACUAGUUCUUUUUCCAUUGUGUAUAUAUACCACAUCUUCUUAAUCCAAUCAUCUGUUGAUGGACAUUUGGGUUGUUUCCAUGUCUUGGCUAUUGUGAAUAGUGCUGAAAUGAACAUGUGGUGCAUGUGUCUUUUUCAAGGAAAGUUUUGUCUGGAUAUAUGCCCAUGAGUGGGAUUGUUGGGUCAUAUGGUAGUUCUAUGUAUAGUUACCUAAGGUACCUCCAUACUGUUUUCCAUAGUGGUUGUACCAGCUUACAUUCCCACCAACAGUGCAGGAGGGUUCCCUUUUCUCCACACCAUCAGACUUGUGGUUGCCAAGGGGAGUGGGAGUGGGAUGGAUUGGGAAUUUGGAGUUAAUAGAUGCAAACUAUUGCCUUUGGAAUGGAUAAGCAAUGAGAUCCUGCUGUACAGCACUGGGAGCUAUGGUCACUUAUGAUGGAGCAUGAUAAUGUGAGAAAAAAGAAUGUAUACAUUUAUGUGUAACUGGGUCACCUUGCUGUACAGGAUAAAAUUGACAGAACACUGUAAACCAGCUAUAAU
ensembl:lncRNA